UCCGACUCGCGAUUUUUCUAAAUGACUUAUUUAUUUCUCUCUUUCCUUUUUUAUAGUGUGUAUUUAUGGUAAGACGGUUACGCCUGGUGCUUCUGGAGGACUUAAAAGGUAUUCGCAUCACGUGUCGACUAUGAACUCCCGUAAUAGGAAAAUAAGACGACGAUUCGUGCGCGUUGGGUAAACAAGUGGCGAAAACAAGUUUUUCAUUUACCUAACGGAUAGAGAGGAGAAGAAACACGCAGAGGAUAGUGGGAAAAUAUUAACAGUUGUCAGUCCUCAACAAUCUGGGAUACCAAGUCUCAGCUUGGCGCCUUCCGCCUAGAUUUGUUAUUUUAUCGAUUAGGAGGGAUGUCGAGCCUCGUGUUCACGUGGCCUCUCGUUUCGUUACGAAAGAAAUGAAAACACCUAAAGAAAGAUCUGGCGAUACGACCUGUGGAGGCAACUAUUUUCCUCGAUGUCCGUCGAUUUCCCGGUAGAAGGAGAUGUCGAGAGACGUGCCCAUAAGAAGGAAAACGGGAUGGAAGAUCGAUCUCUACCAGUGUGCAACUUGAUCGAGAAGAGACUAUCCGUUUUAUAUUCCCGUAAGAAUAUUACGAAACGGACAGCGGGAACGCUGCUUGAACAACGUACGACUUGAAAGACAAAAAGGAAAGAAGGAAUUAAACAAGAAUCUCCCUUCGGAUUCGAUGGAAAUGCUGGAGACGGGUUUACACGAGAAUCAAUACCUCGAACGCGAUAUUCUUCGAUACUCUAUAAUCCGAACUACCACGAUAAAAAAGAAAAUGUUUCUGCCGUUUUUAUACGGCUAUCGCGUGUAUACAGAGCCACACAUAUACGGAUAGGCUUACUUAUACACGGUGAUCUCGGCGGACCUAUUGCUCCUGUAGAGGAGACGGUUCGACGUGUUUCGCCACCACUUCCAUAGUCAGGUUUUCGCUGUUAAUCCGAUCUUUUCGGCACGCCCCUGCGUCGUUUAAACCGUGUAAGUGCUACUGACUGCGAAGCCAGCCAACUGCGAGAAGUCGACGCAGAAACGAAAAAAGGUAAAGAAAAGGGUGCAGGAGGAUUCGUGGACGACCUUAAUAAACGUUAAGAACGAUCCACGCGAUUGGUAAACGUUGAAACGUCUGUUCCACGUAGGACACUGGAAAGCCUGCUAAUGGCCAAGUUGUAUAAGAGUCGAGGAAAGCUACAUUUCCCCCCGUGAAUUUCCCCAGGAGUGGAAAACUCCGUGAAAAGUUUGGUGAGGCAACCCUCGUGCAAUCGUUGCCACGUUUACGUGGAUCGCGUUUCUUUGUUCUUCGCUUGCUCGAUACCAUACAGCGAUGUAAUCUUACACAAUCCUUCAAUUUUCAUUUACAGUUUCAACUUCGAUCCGUGGCUUCGUUGGCGCAACAAUACAAAGAACUCGAAUCCUCGAGAGUAAUUACUGGUACGAGACUUUUUCACGCGAGCUUCUCUAUAGAUGCCGAUGGAAAAUCGCUCCGUAGGGGUUCGUUGCAGAAGUUUGUAAAAUAGGGACGAAGAAAGCGCAAAAUUUUCAAGUGCUACGCGUUCAGGUUCGAUCUAUAGAUACGUACUUACUGUUCUCUGUUUGAAUAGCCUAUGCGACUACAAUGAUGACCCACCUUUAUUCUAGCUUUUUAUUUCACUCAUAAGAUUCUCAUACUUUUUCUAUCUCUUAAUCUAA